GGAAACCCAGCCCUUUCCAUUCAGAUCCCAGCAAGCUAAUGUGAUGGGGUCCAGCAGAUCACUACAUCAAGGAAUCUGGUGGCCAAGGAAAACCAGCUAUCCACUAUCCCCGCAACUAUGGAAGAACUAAGGGUGUUAGAGAUGCUUCAAGAGCAGUGGCCAGAGGCCAUACUUAAACCCCUCCUGGCAAAGAUGAGCUGGGAGAGAUUGCAACCAUAUACCUAGAAGA
rnacentral:lncRNA from 1 species